AUACAACUCUCACCCUCAGCCACACCCCGGCCCCUCUGCGAUGGAGUUAGGUGCCGGCUAACUGGUUUCUGCAGAGCACACGUCUGGACUCCAGU